rnacentral:rRNA from 1 species
CCUACGGGUGGCUGCAGUGAGGAAUAUUGGUCAAUGGGCGGAAGCCUGAACCAGCCAAGUCGCGUGAGGGAGUCAGGCCCUACGGGUCGUAAACCUCUUUUGCCGGGGAGCAGUGCCCAGCUCGUGAGCUGGGAGGGAGCGUACCCGGAGAAAAAGCAUCGGCUAACUCCGUGCCAGCAGCCGCAGUAAUACGGAGGAUGCGAGCGUUAUCCGGAUUGAGUGGGUUUAAAGGGUGCGUAGGCGGGCCUUCAGGCCGGCGGUAAAAUUGCGGGGGACAACCCCGCCGAGCCGUCGGCACCGGGGGCCUUGAGUACCGGAGAAGUACGCGGAAUGCGUGGUGUAGCGGUGAAAUGCAUAGAUAUCACGCAGAACCCCGAUUGCGAAGGCAGCGUACCGGCCGGUCACUGACGCUGAGGCACGAAAGCGCGGGUAUCGAACAGGAUUAGAUACCCGAGUAGUC